GCGGUUGUGGCGGAAUUGGUAGACGCGCUAGACUUAGGAUCUAGUUCCGAAAGGAGUAGGGGUUCGAUUCCCCUCAUCCGCA
rnacentral:tRNA from 1 species